rnacentral:misc_RNA from 1 species
AACGCACGAGACCUGCGGACCUGCGGAAGGAUCAUUAAUGAGAAGCUGCCCCUCGUGGGUAGACCUCCCACCCUCUGUGAACUUACCUUUGUUGCUUUGGCAGGCCCGUCCUCUGGACCGCCGGCUUCGGCUGGCCCGUGCCCGCCAGAGGAUUCCAAACCCUGUCUGUCAGUGUUGUCUGAGUCUAUAUGAAAUCGUUAAAACUUUCAACAACGGAUCUCUAGAUCGGAAGAGCACACG